rnacentral:rRNA from 1 species
GAUGAACGCUAGCGGCAGGCUUAAUACAUGCAAGUCGAGGGGCAGCAUGAUUGUAGCAAUACAAUUGAUGGCGACCGGCAAACGGGUGCGGAACACGUACACAACCUUCCAAUAAGUAGGGAAUAGCCCAGAGAAAUUUGGAUUAAUACCCCGUAACAUAACGAUGUGGCAUCACAUUGUUAUUAUAGAUUUUUCGCUUAUUGAUGGGUGUGCGGCUGAUUAGAUAGUUGGCGGGGUAACGGCCCACCAAGUCUACGAUCAGUAGCUGAUGUGAGAGCAUGAUCAGCCACACGGGCACUGAGACACGGGCCCGACUCCUACGGGAGGCAGCAGUAAGGAAUAUUGGACAAUAGACACAAGUCUGAUCCAGCCAUGCCGCGUGAAGGAUUAAGGUCCUCUGGAUUGUAAACUUCUUUUAUAAGGGACGAAAAAAGGCUUUUCUAAGUCGUCUGACGGUACCUUAUGAAUAAGCACCGGCUAACUCCGUGCCAGCCGCCGCGGUAACAC